rnacentral:rRNA from 1 species
GCUUUGGUGCCUUCGGGAACUCUGAGACAGGUGCUGCAUGGCUGUCGUCAGCUCGUGUUGUGAAAUGUUGGGUUAAGUCCCGCAACGAGCGCAACCCUUAUCCUUUGUUGCCAGCGGUCCGGCCGGGAACUCAAAGGAGACUGCCAGUGAUAAACUGGAGGAAGGUGGGGAUGACGUCAAGUCAUCAUGGCCCUUACGAGUAGGGCUACACACGUGCUACAAUGGCGCAUACAAAGAGAAGCGACCUCGCGAGAGCAAGCGGACCUCAUAAAGUGCGUCGUAGUCCGGAUUGGAGUCUGCAACUCGACUCCAUGAAGUCGGAAUCGCUAGUAAUCGUAGAUCAGAAUGCUACGGUCGAAUACGUUCCCGGGCCUUGUACACACCGCCCGUCACACCAUGGGAGUGGGUUGCAAAAGAAGUAGGUAGCUUAACCUUCGGGAGGGCGCUUACCACUUUGUGAUUCAUGACUGGGGUGAAGUCGUAACAAGGUAGGCGUAGCGAG